CAAUAGCGUAUAUUAAAGUUGUUGCAGUUAAAAAGCUCGUAGUUGGAUUUCGGGGUGGCCUGCCUGGUCCACCGCAAGGUGAGUACUGGUCAGCCGCCCUUCCUCUCGAAAGCCCCGACUGCUCUUCAUUGCAGUGGUCGGGUAGUUCGGGACGUUUACUUUGAAAAAAUUAGAGUGUUCAAGGCAGGCUCUCGCCUGAAUACAUUAGCAUGGAAUAAUGGAAGAGGACCUCGGUCCUAUCUUGUUGGUUUCUAGGGCCGAAGUAAUGAUUAAGAGGGACAGUUGGGGGCAUUCGUAUUUAAUUGUCAGAGGUGAAAUUCUUGGAUUUAUGAAAGACGAACUAGUGCGAAAGCAUUUGCCAAGGAUGUUUUCAUUAA
rnacentral:rRNA from 1 species